GAGGAGAGAGAAGGAGAGGGAGAGGCUUGCCCCAUGGAUCCAACAGAGAAGAUAGUGAGCUUCAAGGGCACUUAGAAGUGAUUCAAUCCAACCCCUUCACUUUACACCCAAAGAUCCUGAAGCCUAGAGAUGUAAAUGGGUGCCCAAGGGGGAUGCAGGGGCCAAAUGGCAGAGCCAGGAUCUAGCCAGCACUCCCUUCACUCCUAGCUCAUGGCCUUUCUCCCAUUCCUCUCUUGGUCAGACUCUCCCCAUCUUCUCUCUCCUCCCUUAGGUUCCACAGCAAAGAGAAACCAACAGCCUGAGUUCCUGCUGCCAUCUGCUGGGCCAACAGAACCUGUGGAUCCUGGAGUGAUUCAGCCCUACCCAGAUGAACCUGGCACAGUUCUUUCUUUGACUGUUCAUCAGUUCUAAGCAGUUGUGCUGCCUCUGGCUCCAAGUUGUACCAUCUGAGGCAGUAGGAAGCCACUGAAGUUUCUUCAGCUGGAGAGGAAAGUGGUCAGAGAGGAAGACACUUUGGCAGUCACAUGGAAAAUGGAUUGGAACAGGGAGAGGUUACAGGCAAAGAAGACCAAACAGGAAGGCAAUUGCUAAGAGUUCAACCAAGGGAUUCUGAGUGCCUAAACUAGUCAUGAGAUGUGGAGAAGGAAAAAGAGAGUGAUCAAAGAAAGGAGAGGAUCUUGCUCUAGGUGAAUGGGGAAAAAACUGUCAACUUGGAAAAGGCAAAGAUGUUCAACCUUUAUUGGCUUCUGUCUCCUCUGUCAUUGCGAAUCAUCUUUCAACUGGAAAGGCCAGAAGAAUUAUGGGCUAAUGAGAAGUUAAUACCUAAAAUAAUUAGAGUAUAAAAGAGCCCCUCACUACUUAUAAAUUCAAGUUAUCAAGCCCAGAUGAAUGCCAUCCUUCACUCCUGAAAGAACGGGAAAAUGUUAGCCAUGCAUUACAGGCAAACAAGGCAUAAAGAGAAUAAAUUGGGGAUCAUCUCAGAGGGAAGGCACUUAAGGAACAGUGGAAAAGGCUUCAUUCUGAAGGUGGGACUAGUGAUGUCCAAGCCAUCUCAUUCAUUGCAAACUCACUAUUAGUCAAUGGUGUGAUAUAGCAACCAAGAAAAGUAACGGGAAUCAUGAGUAACAUCAGGAAUAGAAUCCAGGCAUUGUACAAGGAAUGUCAGAAGACUUGAGUGCAAAUCCUUCCUCAGACACUUAACAUCUGGAUAACCCUAAAUGACACUUAAGCCCUUUCAGCCUCAGUUUAUCUCUUAAAUGCCAGACCUAAGGUCUUUUUCUCACUCUUCUUUCUCCUGAAUCUCUAUUCAGCUUUUGAAAUUCUUGAUCACUUUUUCUUCCUGGACAUUCUCUCUUCACUAUGAUUUCAUGACACACUUCUUAUCUAGUUCUCCCAACAAUCUGACCACUCCUUCUCAGCAGGAGAGGCUGUUCUAGGCUUUCUUCUCUUUUCACUCUAUUAUUAUUCUUUCCUAGCCAUCUCCCAUGAGUUCAAUCACCUCUACAAAGAUGAUUCCCAAAUCAAUCUAUCUAAGCACAAACACACAUAUAGAUAGAGAAAUAUCCAAUGGCCUGGGCAAUUAGGUAGCAUAGUGAAUAGAACAAGACUUGAGUUUAAAUCUGGCCUGAUACCUACUAGCUAGGAGUCCCUGGACAAGUCACUUAACCCUGUUAGUUUCAAUUUCCUCACCAAUAAAAUGGAUUGAAGAAGAAAAUGGCAAACCACUCCAGGAUCCUCACCAUGAAAAUACUAAACGGUCUCAGGAAGAAUCAAACACAACUAAAGUGACUGAAAAACAACAUCCAAUAACCUCUUGGACAUCUUAAACUGGACAGACUCAUCAUUCCAUUCCAAUGGCUCUCUAUUGCCUCCAGGACCUCUGUUUUUUGGCUUUUUUUCUUCACACCUAGGAACCUGCCCCCAGCCACUUUAUACUGUAACCCUCUUUAUAUGCUCUGAUCCAGCCACACUGUUUGCUUCUUUGAGAUUCCACUCUCACUUAAAGAAAUCCAUUUCACUCAACUCCUCUCUUAUCCGUCUAUUCCCAAUCUAUCAAGAAAUUUUGUUAAUACUUACCUAAUUGCCAAACAAUCUACUACACACCCCGCCCCCCGCCCCGUGAACCAUGUGGGGACACUCAAGUCUUCCCAGAUGGCUCUUAAUAAACCACACUACUUUAUUCUAUACCUAGCCCAAUAAUUUUCUACCCAAAUAGAACUAUUUCCUUAAACUUAUUCUAUUCUAUCAUUACACUAAGCCUAUUCUAAGCUAUCCUAUACAAAAGACAAUGAAAGAAUUAAAAAGAACAGAAAAGAGAAAGUAAAGAAAGUUCUGCAACACUGCAAAUCAAAUUAUAAUUACAAUAAUCCAAAUGCAAAAUAUUAACAAAAGAACACAAUUUUUCCUAUGCUAGUACAGCAACUUUCUAUCUAAAGAUAAAACUCCAAAAUUUACCUUACAAAUACAACGGAAAUAGAAACAAAGCAAACUUUCCUAAUCUAAUACAAAACAAUUUCUACCUAAUGUUAGUUUUUUUUUCAAGUCAUCUUAUAAACUAUACAAACUGCAAACUUUUCCUAUUCUACUUACAGAAACAAUCCUACCUAAAAACUAAUGCAAACUCAACUCACAACACAACACUAUGCAAACUAAAAACUUUGUAAAACCUAUUUUGCACAGCUAUUCAUAACUACAAAAUUUACAUAUGUACAUUAUAUUUACAUGCCUCACUGAAAUCACCUAUUAUGAAGAUAAUAAAAUUCUCCUCCCUGUAGUGAGUAAAAAACACCUCUGUACUGUGGAUAUAAAAUUCUUAUGAAUUAAGUUAUUUUUAUACUAGUACAUAUAAAGUAUUAUAUGUUGCAGCUGAUUAGAAUUUGUAACAUCACCACUUGAUAUGUUGUGCAUUAUGUUAAUAACAUCCUACAUCCCUAAACUUUUAUACUUAACAAUUUACCAUAUUUCUCCUAAAUACAAAUCUCUUUUAUUUCAAACUUCUUCCAUUGAAAUGCAUAGUGUAGUGUCUUCAGAAUCUGUCUGCAGUCUUCUUCUUCAGUUUGCUUGUAAAAGUUUAUGUUGCCAGAGUCUCUUGUUGAUUGUUGCCAGCUUGUCUUGUUGAUUAUAACAAUGUACAUUGCAACGUGUAUGUAAUGUUUAUGCAAUGUGUUUUUACAAACAGUACACUGUCCUUUUGAAACCAUGUCCAUGGUCCAUUGUCCAUUUUCUGUUGUCCUUGUUUUGUCCUUGUUGUUGUGUUGAUCUUUGUUUCUUCCUUCUCAAUUACCCACUUCUACUGAAGAAGCUUUAUAUGUAGUUAUGUUCUUCACUUGAUGAUAUAUUCUUCACAUGCGAGCAAUGCACCCACACGUCUUUACCGGCUACCAUUAUAAUAGUAGCAGUUGUCAACAAAAUAUCAUAUGGUCCUUGCCAUAUUGGUUCAGUAGCACUUGUUAUAUGAAAUUUUUUUAGGCAUACAUUAUCACCCAAAUGUCUAUCAUGUUGUGUAAAGUCAAGAGGUCCAGCAUGAACAAUAAUUCCCAGUUCUUAUAGCUCUUUAAUUCUGUUCUACAAUUGCCCUAUGUAUUCUGCAAUAUUUGUGUCUAUACCCAGCAAUGAAGUAAACACCACGUUAAAACUUUUGGCUUGUAAUGGUGUAUGUCCAAAAAGCAUUGUAAACCUCAAAAUUUCUUAGACUUAUGAAUGUUGGAAAUUUCACCAUUGGGAUAUUUCAUACUUGGAAAAUUUCUUACUUAUAGUCUAUUGGAAUGUGAACCCCAUUGGCAUGGGAGGUUCCUUCUCUUCCCUUCUUAAGAUUACUUUAGGACAGAAACCUUUUGCUGAACAAUGGAAAGGACUUUGACCUAUGCUUAAGCAUAGAACAGGAAUUUCUUUGAGUCAUGAUUGAUUUUAGAAUUGAUACAAUGGAGAUACUUGGAAUCAAUCUCCACCCUAUUCAGUCCUAAUAGGAUUGAGUAAGGGCUGCAGCCUAGAUCAAAAUUUAAUUAUUCCAAUCUCUACCCUACUCAGGUUAACAGGAUUUAGAAAGGGCUGUAGCAAAGGAUCAAAGAUUUAAUUAUUUGAAAAUAUGACCUUCAACAGACAUGUGCAAAGCCAGAGACCUCUGGGCGGUCCUGGGUUAAGCUAGAGCCUCCAUUGGCACAGGGAAAUUGAUGGACAGUGAUUGGUAGAUGGGAGAACUGAGGGGAGGCAACUUGGAUGGUUUCCUUAAAGAGAGAGGGGUCUGAAGACUCAGGGGGGUUGGUGGUGUUUUGAGGAGUUUGUACAAUUCUUCCAACUGAUAUCCAGUCCACUCUUACUCUGAUUCAGAGUUUCAAAUCAUUGCCCAUCAUUGCCCAGAUUUGAUCUGUCCCAAAUUAAAGUACUAUAGUGGAUCCACCGAGUCAUUGUUCUGAGGCCUCUCAUUGCCCCUUUCCAAUGUCAAUAUUAUAUUGACACUGACAUUAUCUCCUUCUACAUAAUGUAGAGGCCCCCACUGAGGAGCAUUUUGAGCAUUGAUGAAGUCUCCUUGAUAAGUUGUGAAUUUCUCGCUAUAGUUUGGGUGGUCCUAUUAACAGUAUUAGGAAAAAAUAAUUGAUUGGUUCUCUUCUACUUUACACAUCCUUAGACUUGUGCUUGUCAAGCACCAAAUAGAGAAUCAAAGCUAACAGUCAGAUACACACACCCAGAUGGGUAGUUUUCACAAGAGAUAUAAACUUCCUGGAAGUAGGGAUUGUGUCAUUCUUUUUUUUUAAACCCUUACCUUCCAUCUUAGAAUCAAUAUGGUGUAUAGGUUCCAAGACAGAAGUAAUGUUAAGGGCUAGGCAGUUAGGGUUAAGUGACUUGCCCAGGGUCAUACAGCUAGGAAGUGUAUGAGGACAAAUUUGAAUCCGGGACCUUCUGGCUCCAGGACUGACUCUUAAUCCACUAGACCACCUAGCCACCUCCAAAUUGCUUCAUUCUUUGUCCUCAGAUAUCCCCAGAACCUGGCACAUUGAGCACAAAGCAAACAAAUGUGACUCUUCUCUAUAGCUUCUCAAAGACACUGGAAUCAAGAAUGCAUAGGUCUUAGAAGGUAUUUUUUUUAAAACCAUCUUAGAAUUAAUACUGUGUAUUGGUUCCAAGGCAGAAGAGAGUUAAGGGCUAGGCAAUGGUGGUUAAGUGACUUGCCCAGGGUCACAUAGCUAGGAAGUAUCUGAGGCCACACUUGAACCCCAGGCCUCCCAUCUCUAGGCCAGGCUCUCAAUCAAUCCAUUUAGCCACCUGACUGUCCCCUUGUUUUCAAAUGUAGAUCUAUAGUCUAGCCAUACAGCCGGGAAGAUUCCCAAAGCCCCCAACUCCAGACUUACAUUCUGUGCUUCCCGUAGGU